rnacentral:rRNA from 1 species
UACGGAGGGUGCAAGCGUUAUCCGGAUUUACUGGGUUUAAAGGGUGCGUAGGCGGGCCUUUAAGUCAGUGGUGAAAUCUCCCCGCUCAACGGGGAAACUGCCAUUGAUACUAUUGGUCUUGAAUUCGGUCGAGGUUGGCGGAAUGUGUCGUGUAGCGGUGAAAUGCUUAGAUAUGACACAGAACACCGAUUGCGAAGGCAGCUAGCUAGACCGACAUUGACGCUGAGGCACGAAAGCGUGGGGAUCAAACAGGA